AGGCAAAAGUGCAAAAGAUUCAUAAAGUCACACACAAAAAAUAACGAGAAAUUUGAGGAUGAAGUUGCAAAUUUCUUAAUUAAUUACGAAUGGGCUAAUAUGCGCAUGUGCCACAAUCUUGUCCAAAGAUCAACUAGUUUAGUUAUUGUUGUAUUAAUAUUUAUAAUAAUGUUUACAAUUAGUUGAGUUAGUUAAAAACGUUGUAAUUAGCUUAUAAGCAAACAGUUUGUAACUGUGAUUAUUCAAUUGAAAUCAUUACAAUGAUUUUGCCUAAUCUUCUUCUAAACUUGCGUCAACUGAUUCUAGGCGACAGUUAAGUCGCAAAACCCUUCAAUCUUCCCUCUUUCACUCGCUGCGUACUUCUGCCCAAUUCCGGCUGCAAUCCGCGCAAUUGGAUUUGAAAGUAGCUUCCCGACAGGAGUUUUAACAUAGGGGCAAACGACGCGAUAGGGAACGGCCGUCCAGUCCAGUACACGCGAUGUCCGCAGCUGCAAAAACGCGCUGCUUUUAAUAUACGACACGUUCUAGUCACAACUCACCAUUCUACAAACACAGUUUUAAUAUUUUAUCAUCAACACACACUUGAAAAAAAAAGGAUCGAUCUCAUAGGAUCGUUAAAUGUUAAAACUUUAAUAUGUAUAUGUUCUUACAAGUAUGAGAAUAUGUUAUCAGUAUGUGAUUAAGUUCUGUAUGUUGCAGCGGAUAAAAAAACGAUGGCUAUAGAUGAUACAGUUGAAGGUAUAUAAAAUAUGUAAUGAUGAUCGAUAUUAUUGAUAUAUGUAAACUUGACAGGAAUAACUUGUUUAGUUUAAUUUAGACUAGAUAUUGGAAUGUAUAUAUGAGAUGCAGCAGAUAUUUAAAUGUGAUAAUAUGAGAUGGUAUAUAAGAAAAUAACAAUACAAUGUUCAGGUAGGAGAGUUAGCAGAUGACGAUGUGGAUCCGUAGCAGGAGUUGAAGAAGAGCAGGAAGAGUUCGUAGAGCAGAUCGAGACAUUCGGAUAGAGGUUGCAACAGCGAUUCCCUGUGCGAGAAUGAUCUUGGAUUUUAG
rnacentral:lncRNA from 1 species